rnacentral:rRNA from 1 species
AAUCAACGCUGGCGGCGUGCCUAACACAUGCAAGUCGCACGAGAAAGGGUCUUCGGAUCUGAGUAAAGUGGCGCACGGGUGAGUAACACGUGAAUUAUCUACCUUGGAGUGGGGAAUAACUUCGGGAAACCGAGGCUAAUACUGCAUAAUAUCUACGGAUCAAAGCAGUAAUGAGCUUGAAGAGGAGUUCGCGGCAGAUUAGUUAGUCGGCGGGGUAAUGGCCCACCAAGACGAUGAUCCGGAUCCGGCCUGAGAGGGCGCACGGACACACUGGAACUGAAACACGGUCCAGACUCCUACGGGAGGCAGCAGUGGGGAAUUUUGCGCAAUGGGGGAAACCCUGACGCAGCAACGCCGCGUGGAGGAUGAAGUCUCUUGGGACGUAAACUCCUUUCGAUAGGGAAGAUUAUGACGGUACCUAUAGAAGAAGCCCCGGCUAACUUCGUGCCAGCCGCCGCCGUAA